rnacentral:pre_miRNA from 1 species
AGUGUUCCGCAGGUUGAGGUAGUAGGUUGUAUAGUUCAGAGUGACACCACAGGAGAUAACUGUACAGCCUCCUAGCUUUCCCUGAGGAAACAC